rnacentral:rRNA from 1 species
CACCGCCCGUCACCAUCACGAAAGUAGGUUGUACUACGAAGUAGCUGGGCCAACUCGCAAGAGAGGCAGGUUACCACGGUAUGAUUUAUGAUUGGGUG